GGAUCCCAUCAGAACUCCGAAGUUAAGCGUGCUUGGGCGAGAGUAGUACUAGGAUGGGUGACCUCCUGGGAAGUCCUCGUGUUGCAUUCCCUUUUUUUAAUUUUUUUGCGACUCGUGACAGACAUGACGAACGUGCGCGAUAUAUAUGAGCUGUGCGGGAGCGUAAGUAGUAUAGGGCAAUAGCCAUCGUAAGGGAACGAUCGUAAUGGUAGUAAGAAUGUGCAAUCGUCUUUGUUGUGGACCUGGGAGUGGAAAGCAUAAGGGACGAAGACGGGGGUAACAUGUCGGAUGCGAUCAUACCAGCACUAAAGCACC
rnacentral:rRNA from 1 species